rnacentral:rRNA from 1 species
CCAAUGACAUUACCGAGUUUACACUCCCAACCCCUGUGAACAUACCACUUGUUGCCUCGGCGGAUCAGCCCGCUCCCGGUAAAACGGGACGGCCCGCCAGAGGACCCCUAAACUCUGUUUCUAUAUGUAACUUCUGAGUAAAACCAUAAAUAAAUCAAAACUUUCAACAACGGAUCUCUUGGUUCUGGCAUCGAUGAAGAACGCAGCAAAAUGCGAUAAGUAAUGUGAAUUGCAGAAUUCAGUGAAUCAUCGAAUCUUUGAACGCACAUUGCGCCCGCCAGUAUUCUGGCGGGCAUGCCUGUUCGAGCGUCAUUUCAACCCUCAAGCACAGCUUGGUGUUGGGACUCGCGUUAAUUCGCGUUCCUCAAAUUGAUUGGCGGUCACGUCGAGCUUCCAUAGCGUAGUAGUAAAACCCUCGUUACUGGUAAUCGUCGCGGCCACGCCGUUAAACCCCAACUUCUGAAUGUUGACCUCGGAUCAGGUAGGAAUACCCGCUGAACUUAAGCAUAUCAUAAAAGCGGAGGAAAA